AGACCCGAAACCCGGUGAUCUAGCCAUGGGCAGGUUGAAGGUUGGGUAACACUAACUGGAGGACCGAACCGACUAAUGUUGAAAAAUUAGCGGAUGACCUGUGGCUGGGGGUGAAAGGCCAAUCAAACCGGGAGAUAGCUGGUUCUCCCCGAAAGCUAUUUAGGUAGCGCCUCGUGAAUUCAUCUCCGGGGGUAGAGCACUGUUUCGGCUAGGGGGCCAUCCCGGCUUACCAACCCGAUGCAAACUGCGAAUACCGGAGAAUGUUAUCACGGGAGACACACGGCGGGUGCUAACGUCCGUCGUGAAGAGGGAAACAACCCAGACCGCCAGCUAAGGUCCCAAAGUCAUGGUUAAGUGGGAAACGAUGUGGGAAGGCCCAGACAGCCAGGAUGUUGGCUUAGAAGCAGCCAUCAUUUAAAGAAAGCGUAAUAGCUCACUGGUCGAGUCGGCCUGCGCGGAAGAUGUAACGGGGCUAAACCAUGCACCGAAGCUGCGGCAGCGACGCUGAUGCGUUGUUGGGUAGGGGAGCGUUCUGUAAGCCUGCGAAGGUGACCUGUGAGGGUUGCUGGAGGUAUCAGAAGUGCGAAUGCUGACAUAAGUAACGAUAAAGCGGGUGAAAAGCCCGCUCGCCGGAAGACCAAGGGUUCCUGUCCAACGUUAAUCGG
rnacentral:rRNA from 1 species